AACGCGCGAACCGCUGCCUCAUACAACUUCACUCACAAUCUAACGUCAACUUUCCCUUUCCUGAAAUUUCGUGCCCGGUCUGCACAAACCCCGCUUUCUUCCGUUUUCCAUGUCAUUUCCUGUAAUAAAAAGAUGGUGGUCAUAGCAGAGAGAAGCAGCUGACUGUGGUACAAACAUUUGGAGAUGAUAAACUUUGCAUCGCCCGGGACUAGUGAAAUCCCCCCGUGCCGUUGCGUCACCGCCGCGUUUCUCGGAGCGGCCGAAGGCGAGGCGCGCCACGGCUGAAGAAGACCACCAAAGACCCCGCGACGCACUGCGUAUAUUCUGUAGACGUUUUAAUAUGUUGAAGUGAAACGAGGCAGACAGGAGUCUCUCCUUCCUGCCCAGAUGGCAGAUGCCUGUGUUGUUCCAGAGCAUUCCUCCAUGGAAGUUGAGGCCGAAUGCAGCACCAGUGCCUCAAAUGAGAAGUCAAUUGAAGAGCCAAACAAAAAACUAAAAGUUGACCAUGAGCAUUCAACCAGUUUUUGGUGUAAGUAUCAUUUACUUUAACUUGAAAUAAAAGUGUUGUG
rnacentral:lncRNA from 1 species